rnacentral:rRNA from 1 species
GGAUCAUUACCGAGUGCGGGUCCUUUGGGCCCAACCUCCCAUCCGUGUCUAUUGUACCCUGUUGCUUCGGCGGGCCCGCCGCUUGUCGGCCGCCGGGGGGGCGCCUCUGCCCCCCGGGCCCGUGCCCACCGGAGACCCCAACACGAACACUGUCUGAAAGCGUGCAGUCUGAGUUGAUUGAAUGCAAUCAGUUAAAACUUUCAACAAUGGAUCUCUUGGUUCCGGCAUCGAUGAAGAACGCAGCGAAAUGCGAUAACUAAUGUGAAUUGCAGAAUUCAGUGAAUCAUCGAGUCUUUGAACGCACAUUGCGCCCCCUGGUAUUCCGGGGGGCAUGCCUGUCCGAGCGUCAUUGCUGCCCUCAAGCCCGGCUUGUGUGUUGGGUCGCCGUCCCCCUCUCCGGGGGGACGGGCCCGAAAGGCAGCGGCGGCACCGCGUCCGAUCCUCGAGCGUAUGGGGCUUUGUCACAUGCUCUGUAGGAUUGGCCGGCGCCUGCCGACGUUUUCCAACCAUUCUUUCCAGGUUGACCUCGGAUCAGGUAGGGAUACCCGCUGAACUUAAGCAUAUCAAUAAGCGGAGGA